UGAGCACGAGGACUACAAGUACACCGGGCUGGCGUGGCUGUUCCUGGGCGUCCCGACCAGCGACACCCUGCUGUACAAGGAGGAGCUGGAGAAGAUGAAGGAGAUGGCGCCGGACAACUUCCGGCUGGACUUCGCGGUGAGCCGGGAGCAGACGAACGCGGCCGGGGAGAAGAUGUACAUCCAGACGCGCAUGGCGGAGUACAAGGAGGAGCUGUGGGAGCUGCUCAAGAAGGACAACACCUACGUCUACAUGUGCGGGCUCAAGGGCAUGGAGAAGGGCAUCGACGACAUCAUGCUCGACCUCGCAGCCAAGGACGGGAUCAACUGGUUGGACUACAAGAAGCAGCUCAAGAAGAGCGAGCAAUGGAACGUCGAAGUCUACUGAUGAUGAUCCUUCAUUGUAUUGUUCAGCUCAAGAAAUCUGGUGGUGAUGAGUUUGCAUUGCAUUGUACGUAGUAUUGCGGAGAUCAAUCGAAUCGUUUGGCUCGUCGUCGUUCUAUCGAUGUACAUACAUU